rnacentral:rRNA from 1 species
UACAGAGGUCUCAAGCGUUGUUCGGAUUCAUUGGGCGUAAAGGGCGCGUAGGCGGCGGGGUAAGUCGGAUGUGAAAUCUCAGAGCUCAACUCUGAAACUGCACUCGAUACUGCUUUGCUAGAGGACUGGAGAGGAGAUUGGAAUUCACGGUGUAGCAGUGAAAUGCGUAGAUAUCAAGAGGAACACCAGUGGCGAAGGCGAGUCCCGGGGCAACACCUGACACUGAGGCACGAAAGCCGGGGGAGCAAACAGG